AGAGUUUGAUCCUGGCUCAGGACGAACGCUGGCGGCACGCUUAACACAUGCAAGUCGAACGAGAGAAGAGGAGCUUGCUUUUCUGAUCUAGUGGCGGACGGGUGAGUAACACGUGAGCAAUCUGCCUUUCAGAGGGGGAUACCGAUUGGAAACGAUCGUUAAUACCGCAUAACAUAAUUGAACCGCAUGAUUUGAUUAUCAAAGAUUUAUCGCUGAAAGAUGAGCUCGCGUCUGAUUAGCUAGUUGGUAAGGUAACGGCUUACCAAGGCGACGAUCAGUAGCCGGACUGAGAGGUUGAUCGGCCACAUUGUGACUGAGACACGGCCCAGACUCCUACGGGAGGCAGCAGUGGGGAAUAUUGCACAAUGGAGGAAACUCUGAUGCAGCGAUGCCGCGUGAGGGAAGAAGGUUUUAGGAUUGUAAACCUCUGUCUUCAGGGACGAAAAAAGACGGUACCUGAGGAGGAAGCUCCGGCUAACUACGUGCCAGCAGCCGCGGUAAUACGUAGGGAGCGAGCGUUGUCCGGAAUUACUGGGUGUAAAGGGAGCGUAGGCGGGAUCGCAAGUCAGAUGUGAAAACUAUGGGCUUAACCCAUAAACUGCAUUUGAAACUGUGGUUCUUGAGUGAAGUAGAGGUAAGCGGAAUUCCUAGUGUAGCGGUGAAAUGCGUAGAUAUUAGGAGGAACAUCAGUGGCGAAGGCGGCUUCCUGGGCUUUAACUGACGCUGAGGCUCGAAAGCGUGGGGAGCAAACAGGAUUAGAUACCCUGGUAGUCCACGCCGUAAACGAUGAUUACUAGGUGUGGGGGGACUGACCCCUUCCGUGCCGCAGCAAACGCAAUAAGUAAUCCACCUGGGGAGUACGACCGCAAGGUUGAAACUCAAAGGAAUUGACGGGGGCCCGCACAAGCAGUGGAGUAUGUGGAUUAAUUCGAAGCAACGCGAAGAACCUUACCAGGUCUUGACAUCGUAUGCAUAGCUCAGAGAUGAGUGAAAUCUCUUCGGAGACAUAUAGACAGGUGGUGCAUGGUUGUCGUCAGCUCGUGUCGUGAGAUGUUGGGUUAAGUCCCGCAACGAGCGCAACCCUUACUGUUAGUUGCUACGCAAGAGCACUCUAGCAGGACUGCCGUUGACAAAACGGAGGAAGGUGGGGAUGACGUCAAAUCAUCAUGCCCCUUAUGACCUGGGCCUCACACGUACUACAAUGGCUGUCAACAGAGGGAAGCAAAGCCGCGAGGUGGAGCGAACCCCUAAAAGCAGUCUUAGUUCGGAUUGUAGGCUGCAACCCGCCUACAUGAAGUCGGAAUUGCUAGUAAUCGCAGAUCAGCAUGCUGCGGUGAAUACGUUCCCGGGCCUUGUACACACCGCCCGUCACGCCAUGGGAGUCGGUAACACCCGAAGCCUGUAGUCUAACCGCAAGGAGGACGCAGUCGAAGGUGGGAUUGAUGACUGGGGUGAAGUCGUAACAAGGUA
rnacentral:rRNA from 1 species